rnacentral:rRNA from 1 species
CCUACGGGAGGCAGCAGUGGGGAAUAUUGGGCAAUGGAGGCAACUCUGACCCAGCAACGCCGCGUGAAUGAUGAAGGUCUUCGGAUUGUAAAGUUCUUUUCUAAGGGAAGAAGAAAGUGACGGUACCUUAGGAAUAAGCCUCGGCUAACUACGGGCCAUCAGCAGCGGUAAUACGUAGGAGGCAAGCGUUAUCCGAAUUUAUUGGGUUUAAAGGGUGCGAAGGCGGAGGCACAAGUCAGCGGUAAACUCGAGGGGCUGAACCCCGCUCCGCCGUUGAAACUGUGUCCCUUGAGUGUGCGAAGGGUAGGCGGAAUGCGUGGUGUAGCGGUGAAAUGCAUAGAUAUCACGCAGAACUCCGAUCGCGAAGGCAGCCUACCGGCGCGCAACUGACGCUCAUGCACGAAAGCGUGGGUAUCGAACAGGAUUAGAUACCCCAGUAGUC